rnacentral:rRNA from 1 species
GUCCACGCCGUAAACGAUGAGAACUAGAUGUCGGGAGGAUCUGCCUUUCGGUGUCGCAGCUAACGCGUUAAGUUCUCCGCCUGGGGAGUACGCCGGCAACGGUAAAACUCAAAGGAAUUGACGGGGACCCGCACAAGCGGUGGAGCAUGUGGUUUAAUUCGAUGCAACGCGAAGAACCUUACCUGCCCUUGACAUUGACAGAAUCCUGUAGAGAUACGGGAGUGCUUCGGCCUGGAAAACAGGUGCUGCAUGGCU